rnacentral:rRNA from 1 species
UACGGGGGGGGUAAGCGUUGUUCGGAAUUACUGGGCGUAAAGGGCUCGUAGGCGGCCAACUAAGUCAGACGUGAAAUCCCUCAGCUUAACUGGGGAACUGCGUCUGAUACUGGAUGGCUUGGAUUCGGGAGAGGAAUGCGGAAUUCCAGGUGUAGCGGUGAAAUGCGUAGAUAUCAGGAGGAACACCGGUGGCGAAGGCGGCUACCUGGACAGAAACUGACGCUGAGGCGCGAAAGCUAGGGGAGCAAACAGG